UUCAUCCCUUCCCUUCCCUUUCUUUCCCCCUCCCUCCCUCUCUGGGUCCCUUUCCCAUUUACAAAUGAUCCACCUCCUUACCUCCUAUUACUUAUCUUUUAUUUUGCUCUUCAUUUAGAUUUUGGGAUAUUACUAUUAUUAUUAUUAUGAUUAUUUUCACAUUUAAGCAUCUAUGUAUUUAUUGCACUAAAUCAUCAAAGUUCACCAGAGUCUAAAACCACAGACAGCUUUUCUAGUUAAACAUUUGGUGUUUCUAAGACGCAUACAGAUUUGUUCCACUGUGAAAAGAACGGGGAGCUUCUUAUCAGUAAGUGUCUUCUUAUAGGAGGGCUCAGCUAAGGACCCCAGCACAUGACCUGACUUCCUUGGCGACAGGUCCAAACAGAACUUGGGGCCCUAUCACCAGGCACCACCGUCUAGUGACAACUGCCCCCCCAGUCAGUUGGCUGAAAACAGUCAGCAGCAAACAUGCUGUGCUGCUUUCCCAGGCCUCCUGGUUGCAGCCUCAGGUCCCCUCGCAGGGAAACCACUUGGCAAUGAGUGAGAGGAUGGUUCACUUGGCCCAGAAGCUUCAGGACCCUCGCCAGGAACCGUCCAACAGUCAUGGGCAGCACAGGGCAGGUCUCACCAGACCCAGCCCCUAGAUGCCCAGAGACAAGAGAGAGCCCAGGACAAGUGUCCCUAGGUUCAGCCACCAGACACUUGGAGCCACUGAUAUCUGGACAGGGCUACAGAACGUUCAUCACAUUCCAGGGCAAUCUCUGAAGAUAAACAUCCAAUUUAGUUUGGAAAUCGGUCAACCAAGAGCUUGGCAGAGGUCUGCACAGUAA
rnacentral:lncRNA from 1 species